rnacentral:misc_RNA from 1 species
AAUAUUCGUCGACCCGACUUAGACCGAGCAUGGCUCCUCCGAAGCAGCCCUUGAAGCGACGAACGUUCCAGGACCCGACGUAGACCUGUCCCGAAGCGAUCAAGGUUCCUCGACGUCGUAGACCUUCGACCAAGGUUUCUCGGCCGUCGUAGACCUUCCCCGAUGGUUCCUAGGCACGUCGUAGACCGACGAAGGAUCCCCCGAAGCGACCAAGGUUCCUCGGCUCGUCGUGGACCUUCGGGCAAGGUUUCUCGGACCGACGUAAACCUGCCCCGAUGGUUUCUCGGCCCGUCGUAGCGACUUGGAGGAAAAGUAUGAUUCCUCAAAAAAUCAAUGUCUGUUCCUGUCACUUAAGUUUUUGUCCAAUAAGUAUAUAUAGGGGGGGUGGAGUAUUUGGAGGCAAGGAUGCACGGGCACCGGUCGGCCUAUGGAACCACCGUUGUGUGCUCCGUGCAUUACGUCGAAGGCAAAUACGCUCUCCUAAUCGGUGUGGGCUUGCACGCACCGGUGGGGCUUGAUAGAAAUUCAAGCCUUGACGCUGUAGCCUAACGAGAAAGCGACGAUGACCCGAAGAGACCCAAAUCGUGAAAGAGUUAGGCGAGAGCGUCGGCAAGUGUGGUCGCUUGUGGGAAACGUUGCUGAAUGGAAUUCGAAAUCCUGUAAUUGCUUACCGAUAUGCGCGUGUCCGGACCGGUCUCUCAUGCCUCGUUAGUGAUUUGAAUCCAUCACUUUGCAAACGUGGCGAUUUGUCGCUUGCGUCUGCUGGUUUGACUCACUCGUACGCGGUUGUUAAGGUGGAGGGACUCGUUUCUUUAGGUGACUUGAUCUGACGAUGAUGUUACCGUGCUUGGAUUAAGCUCGGCUUUAGGUCUAUUGCGUACGUGCGUAGAUUGAGCCUUGAUUUUGAUCUAUGGCAUAGCUAUGGAGUCGUUCGGUCUUUGUUGCGCGAGCAACAUGAGGGAUCGGUUUCUUCUACGCGGAUAUACGUAAGCAAGCGAUGAUGCAACGGUUCUUACAAGCGACCUUGGACCCUUCCUGAUGGACCCUUCCAGAUCGACCCUUCCUGAUGACGGUUUACAUUCCUGACUUUCCCAUCGUUCGGGGCAUUCUGGGGCUGUUUUGGCUAUUGGUUGCUUGUUUGGUCUUGAGCCGAACGGGUGGCUUCUAGCCAGGUGGCUUCGGGGAUGUUGUCCGUAAAGGUGGAUGAGUGGUGUUUGGUUUGUCACGUGUGGUUGGCUGCGGCGUUUGCAACAACUUCCAUGCUUUCAGACCUCUUCAGUUGUGCGGCAAGGCUUGUAUCGCCUUGUCGUAAUGUGGGUUUUCUGUGUUGUAUACCUAAUCAAUGGUAUCGGUUGGAUUGAUCAAUGUUUCAUUUCGUCUGUCGUCGCAUUCGCGGCGUGAGACGAACCUCGAUGCGGUCUCUUUGGCCCACCUCGUCGAAGCACAUGCUUUGACGUUGUGGCACAUUGAGCAUUGCUUGGUCUCUUGUAUACGGAACAUAUAGUGGGCAUGGAUCUAACGAUUCUUGUUUGCCCUCAUGUUAGCGUAACGCUUCUCUUACACGACUUGCUCCACGUUUUAGCUCGUACGGACGUGGUGCUAUGUCGAAGAGGAAUGC